rnacentral:lncRNA from 1 species
AGUUAAAAUUUAAUUACUUAUAAAAUAAACUAAAAAUUAAAAAUAAGAAACGGAUGUCGACAUCCGUUUCAGGGCCUGGACGUCUUCUUCCUCAGCACACACAACAUAGAGCACACACACAACACAGAGCACACAACACAGAAACCUCAACAGAGCAACAGACCACACAAAAACCUCAAGCAACAGACCAACCAGAAAUCAACAACAGACAAAGCAACCCAAUCCUAAACAUUACAUACAUUUAAAAAAAUAAGGAAGAAACGAAAAGAAACUAACCUGUCGAAACAAACGAAACAAGGAGUAACGCCCUAAAAAUUAAUA